GACAGAGGUGCCAAGCGUUAGGCGGAAUCACUGGGCUUAAAGCGUGUGUAGGCGGGUCGUUAAGUACCUUGUGAAAUCCCACGGCUCAACCGUGGAACGGCUGGGUAUACUGGCGAUCUUGAGCCACCUAGGGGCAGUCGGAACAAGUGGUGGAGCGGUGAAAUGCGUAGAUAUCACUUGGAACGCCAAUGGUGAAAACAGACUGCUGGGGGUGUGCUGACGCUGAGACACGAAAGCUAGGGGAGCGAAUGGG
rnacentral:rRNA from 1 species